rnacentral:rRNA from 1 species
UCUGGUUGAUCCUGCCAGUAGUUAUAUGCUUGUCUCAAAGAUUAAGCCAUGCAUGUCUAAGUACACACGAAUUAAAAGUGAAACCGCAAAAGGCUCAUUAUAUCAGUUAUGGUUCCUUAGAUCGUUAACAGUUACUUGGAUAACUGUGGUAAUUCUAGAGCUAAUACAUGCAAUUAAAACAUGAACCUUAUGGGACAUGUGCUUUUAUUAGGCUAAAACCAAGCGAUCGCAAGAUCGUUAUAUUGGUUGAACUCUAGAUAACAUGCAGAUCGUAUGGUCUUGUACCGACGACAGAUCUUUCAAAUGUCUGCCCUAUCAACUUUUGAUGGUAGUAUCUAGGACUACCAUGGUUGCAACGGGUAACGGGGAAUCAGGGUUCGAUUCCGGAGAGGGAGCCUGAGAAACGGCUACCACAUCUAAGGAAGGCAGCAGGCGCGUAAAUUACCCACUCCCAGCUCGGGGAGGUAGUGACGAAAAAUAACAAUACAGGACUCAUAUCCGAGGCCCUGUAAUUGGAAUGAGUACACUUUAAAUCCUUUAACAAGGACCAAUUGGAGGGCAAGUCUGGUGCCAGCAGCCGCGGUAAUUCCAGCUCCAAUAGCGUAUAUUAAAGUUGUUGCGGUUAAAACGUUCGUAGUUGAACUUGUGCUUCAUACGGGUAGUACAACUUACAAUUGUGGUUAGUACUAUACCUUUAUGUAUGUAAGCGUAUUACCGGUGGAGUUCUUAUAUGUGAUUAAAUACUUGUAUUUUUCAUAUGUUCCUCCUAUUUAAAAACCUGCAUUAGUGCUCUUAAACGAGUGUUAUUGUGGGCCGGUACUAUUACUUUGAACAAAUUAGAGUGCUUAAAGCAGGCUUCAAAUGCCUGAAUAUUCUGUGCAUGGGAUAAUGAAAUAAGACCUCUGUUCUGCUUUCAUUGGUUUUCAGAUCAAGAGUAAUGAUUAAUAGAAGCAGUUUUGGGGGCAUUAGUAUUACGACGCGAGAGGUGAAAUUCUUGGACCGUCGUAAGACUAACUUAAGCGAAAGCAUUUGCCAAAGAUGUUUUCAUUAAUCAAGAACGAAAGUUAGAGGUUCGAAGGCGAUCAGAUACCGCCCUAGUUCUAACCAUAAACGAUGCCAGCUAGCAAUUGGGUGUAGCUACUUUUAUGGCUCUCUCAGUCGCUUCCCGGGAAACCAAAGCUUUUGGGCUCCGGGGGAAGUAUGGUUGCAAAGCUGAAACUUAAAGGAAUUGACGGAAGGGCACCACCAGGAGUGGAGCCUGCGGCUUAAUUUGACUCAACACGGGAAAACUUACCAGGUCCGAACAUAAGUGUGUAAGACAGAUUGAUAGCUCUUUCUCGAAUCUAUGGGUGGUGGUGCAUGGCCGUUCUUAGUUCGUGGAGUGAUUUGUCUGGUUAAUUCCGAUAACGAACGAGACUCAAAUAUAUUAAAUAGAUAUCUUCAGGAUUAUGGUGCUGAAGCUUAUGUAGCCUUCAUUCAUGUUGGCAGUAAAAUGCUUAUUGUGUUUGAAUGUGUUUAUGUAAGUGGAGCCGUACCUGUUGGUUUGUCCCAUUAUAAGGACACUAGCUUCUUAAAUGGACAAAUUGCGUCUAGCAAUAAUGAGAUUGAGCAAUAACAGGUCUGUGAUGCCUUAGAUGUCCUGGGCUGCACGCGCGCUACAAUGAAAGUAUCAACGUGUAUUUCCUAGACCGAGAGGUCCGGGUAAACCGCUGAACCACUUUCAUGCUUGGGAUUGUGAACUGAAACUGUUCACAUGAACUUGGAAUUCCCAGUAAGUGUGAGUCAUUAACUCGCAUUGAUUACGUUCCCUGCCUUUGUACACACCGCCCGUCGCUACUACCGAUUGAAUUAUUUAGUGAGGUCUCCGGACGUGAUCACUGUGACGCCUUGCGUGUUACGGUUGUUUCGCAAAAGUUGACCGAACUUGAUUAUUUAGAGGAAGUAAAAGUCGUAACAAGGUUUCCGUAGGUGAACCUGCGGAAG